rnacentral:rRNA from 1 species
UGCAGUCGACGAAGAUGGCAGCCUCUGGUUGGCAUCUUAGUGGCGGACGUGGUGAGUAACGCGUAAGAACUUGCCCCUGGGAGAGGGAUACCAACUGGAAACGGUUGUUAAUACCUCAUAGGCUGAGGAGUAAAAUGGUUAACACCGCCUAGGGAUAGGCUUGCGUCUGAUUAGCUAGUUGGUGGGGCAAAGGCCUACCAAGGCAAUGAUCAGUAGCUGGUCUGAGAGGACAAUCAGCCACACUGGGACUGAGACACGGCCCAGACUCCUACGGGAGGCAGCAGUGAGGAAUUUUCCGCAAUGGGCGAAAGCCUGACGGAGCAAUGCCGCGUGGAGGAUGAAGGCCCGUGGGUUGUAAACUCCUUUUCUUAGAGAAGAAGCCCUGACGGUAUCUAAGGAAUAAGCAUCGGCUAACUCCGUGCCAGCAGCCGCGGUAAUACGGGGGAUGCAAGCGUUAUCCGGAAUCAUUGGGCGUAAAGGGUCCUGAGGUGGUUUGCUAAGUCUACUGUGAAAGAUCAGGGCUCAACCCUGAAGAUGCGGUGGAAACUGGCAGGCUAGAAUACGGUAGGGGCAGGGGGAAUUCCCGGUGUAGCGGUGAAAUGCAUAGAUAUCGGGAAGAACACCAAAGGCGAAGGCACCCUGCUGGGCCGAUAUUGACACUGACAGACGAAAGCUAGGGGAGCGAAUGGGAUUAGAUACCCCAGUAGUCCUAGCCGUAAACGAUGGAUACUAAGUGCUGAACGACCAAAAACGUGCAGUGCUGCAGCUAACGCGCUAAGUAUCCCGCCUGGGGAGUGUGCCCGCAAGGGUGAAACUCAAAGGAAUUGACGGGGGCCCGCACAGCGGUGGAGCAUGUGGUUUAAUUCGAUGCA